UGCGUAGGUGGCCCGAUAAGUCAGUGGUGAAAGUUUGCAGCUUAACUGUAAAAUUGCCAUUGAAACUGUCGGGCUUGAGUCUGGUGGAGGUAGGCGGAAUGUGUAGUGUAGCGGUGAAAUGCUUAGAUAUUACACAGAACACCGAUUGCGAAGGCAGCUUACUAUACCAGUACUGACACUGAUGCACGAAAGCGUGGGGAGCGAACAGGAUUAGAUACCCUGGUAGUCC
rnacentral:rRNA from 1 species